rnacentral:rRNA from 2 species
AAAUCCAGAGAUAGAGGGUUUCCCUUUGGGGGACAGAGUGACAGGUGGUGCAUGGUUGUCGUCAGCUCGUGUCGUGAGAUGUUGGGUUAAGUCCCGCAACGAGCGCAACCCUUGAUCUUAGUUGCCAGCAUUUAGUUGGGCACUCUAAGGUGACUGCCGGUGACAAACCGGAGGAAGGUGGGGAUGACGUCAAAUCAUCAUGCCCCUUAUGACCUGGGCUACACACGUGCUACAAUGGAUGGUACAAAGGGCUGCAAGACCGCGAGGUCAAGCCAAUCCCAUAAAUCCGUUCUCAGUUCGGAUUGUAGUCUGCAACUCGCCUACAUGAAGCUGGAAUCGCUAGUAAUCGCGGAUCAGCAUGCCGCGGUGAAUACGUUCCCGGGCCUUGUACACACCGCCCGUCACACCACGAGAGUUUGUAACACCCGAAGUCGGUGGGGUAACCUUUAUGGAGCCAGCCGCCUAAGGUGGGCCGAAGG